CGUGAAAGAAAAAUACACGCAAUAAAAGAAAAUUUCGUUGGAUGAUUUAGAAGAGCAAGCAAGAUGUAUGGCUGCCUGUCAGAGAAUAGCAUUCAAAUAUGGCUUAAAUAAGACCAAUGGAAGUGUGUCUCUUCACGGGAGCAGAGUGUGGAAGCAAAGAAAAUAAGGAAACAACUAUUGGAGGAUAUGACCGUUGUUUUACAGAUCCGCAAAACAAAUGUUCCUCUAGAGAACGGAAUAACAAUGAAGGAAAUAAAUAAAUAAAUAAAUAAAUAA